rnacentral:lncRNA from 1 species
GGAUCUGUGGGCUCUGCCCACAGCCACCAAAGCACUCGGGCAGUAAGUCCCCAGUGGGUCAGUGUGAGGGUUGAAGGUGCUGGAGCAUCACUGUGGAUGUGUCUAUCAAUCUCUGAAGACUUUUACAGGAGGUUCUCAGCUCUUCUCACAGCUGGUCACUGUCAGAGUCCCACCGAGAGGUCCUUUCCAGGCAGGAUGUGCUGUCACCCACUGUGACAACUGAGCCUCCCCUGCCAGGACAAUCCUCCCUCCUGCACAUUGCACCUGCAGUGCAAUGUGGAACCACAGCUUCCAGCACUAGGGACAAGCUGAUCUUCAAAGCUCCCUUCCAAGCCAAACCAUCCCAUGACUCUGUGAACUGCCAAGGGUCCCGAUUCUGUCCUCAGUGUCAGGAUGCAAUAAUGUAGUGAUCUGUCCCACUGCUUCCAAGGCCUCCCAAAUAAUCCAUGCAGAGAUGCUGCCCCUGGAAUGACCAGCAGCACGAGAGCCUGAUUCUUGCUAGUGUAAAUCAGGAGGAACCCCCAGCAAAUCCAAUCAAGUGAUCUCAGUGCAAAAAUUUUGGGAGCCACAGCAGUAUCAGGAGUGCUCAGCCUAACCUUCUCCAAAUUCUGCAACAAAUGCCCCAUGAUGGAAUGGCAAGCUCCAAAAUUCAGUUUUGAGACCAGACUUCCUGAGCAGCAUGGGGUAGCCUGUCCUCUGUAUGAAGAAUUUCAUCAGCUACUGAGAGAACAACUGUACAGAGAAACAAAAGGGCAUCAUCAUGGCUUUUAAAAGAACAGGAGCUUCUGAGAAAUUUCAGGUACACAACAUUCCUUUAAGGUGUGUAUGGGAUGCUGCCCUUGUUCAUUAGGCCAUUAAAUACCAGAGAAUGAGCAGUUCCCUCUCGUGAGCAGUGUGCAAUAAACCAGCUCCUCUUUCCACCCUGCCAAGAGACCUGUGCAAUCAGACCCCUGUGACACCGACACCCACAGUGCUCUGCAGGACUGCACAGCUCUACCUUGAAGUACCAUUUCGUGGCAUCAGAGAGUCCAGAAUUAAACACAAAACAUUCUGCUAAUCCUUGUUAAGUUGACAAAGAAAGCUGUCACCUGUACUUGAUCAGCUCCUAAAGAAAACUGUUCCCCUUGCUAGGACAUCAGACUGUGCUCGUGGCCAGACACAGAGACUCAGCACUG